ACUGAAUUUAGACUAGUUUCAGACUAGAUUUAGACUAGUUUCAGACUAGAUUUAAACUAGUUUCAGACUAGAUUUAGACCAAUCGUCCUUUCUGAACCCAAAGAUCAAGCUGCUGCUCUUCCUCCUUAUUCUGGAAGAAAAAGACCCCGUCGGUGUGACCCAACUGUUUG